GCAGAUUCCUGGGACAUGUCCUUAGGAGAUGUAUCUUGUCCUGGCCUCUUCCAUUACUCCGUUUCAUCUGCUUCCUGGUGGACUCAUGUGCUCAUCACACCCUUCUUCCCCUGAUGGACUGAUACCUCUGAAACCAUCAGCCUUCCUCCCUGAGGCUCUCCUGGAUGGUUUUAUCAGGGACACCCACUGUUUCUAAAACUUGAAACAGAAAAGAUAGAAAUAAGACUUGAAGUGGCUACAAAACAAAGGAAGCCCUGUCCUAGGAAGACAAAGGGUGAAUUCCUGAAUGAAUGGUUCAGAGAAGCACGGCAAACUCAGUUCCUUCUGCCAGUGGACUAUUACUAGCUUAAAAAAAAAAAAAAGAGCAUUUGGGUCAACCUUGGCUAAGAGAACAGGACAACUAGUCUUUAGGGGAGGAGAGACUACCCCAGCCUUCAUGUCAACUAACCUCAGGGCAGCCCAACCCAAGAGUCCUGUGAAGUGACAGGACCUUUACUUCUGGGCGUGAACUAAGCUGAGUGUGGAGUCUCUCCCCUUGAAGCUUGAAGGGCAUCAAAUGUCACAAGCACAAAUACUCAGAGCUUGUACUGUCCCACUUCAUGCAAAACCCGAAAUACCAAUGACAGCCAGAAAAGCACAGUGAAAAUCCAUCCACGUGACCCAUUUAGAACGCAUAGCUGUUUGCUUGCCAAGCCUUAUCAAGCUGAAUAAAAACUAGAAUGUCUAGCA